AUUGCAGUGAUGAGGCAGUUAACAUAUAAGUGGGACUAACUCUGUGUUGGUUCUUCAAUGAAAUAUCUUUGUUACGCUUGGCUUCUGAGCUUU
rnacentral:snoRNA from 1 species